AGUGAAGAUGCUGCGUACCCGCGGCUAGACGGAAAGACCCCGUGAACCUUUACUACAGCUUGGCACUGAACAUUGAACCUACAUGUGUAGGAUAGGUGGGAGGCUUUGAAACCAUGUCGCUAGAUAUGGUGGAGCCGUCCUUGAAAUACCACCCUUGUAGUUUUGAUGUUCUAACGUCGCCCCGUUAUCCGGGGUGCGGACAGUGCCUGGUGGGUAGUUUGACUGGGGCGGUCUCCUCCCAAAGCGUAACGGAGGAGCACGAAGGUGGGCUAAUCACGGUCGGACAUCGUGA
rnacentral:rRNA from 1 species